rnacentral:rRNA from 1 species
AACGUACGCUGGCGGCACGCCUAACACAUGCAAGUUCGAACGAAGUAGCAAUACUUAGUGGCAGACGGGUGAGUAACAUGUAGGUAUCCUGCCCUUUGGCCUGGAAUAACACGAGGAAACUUGUGCUAAUACCGGAUAAGUCUUUACGGAGAAAGCUUUAUGCACCAUUGGAUGAGCCUGCACUUGAUUAGUUUGUUGGUGGGGUAAUGGCCUACCAAGACUGUGAUCAAUAGCUGAUUUGAGAGGAUGAUCAGCCACAUUGGGACUGAGACACGGCCCAAACUCCUACGGGAGGCAGCAGUGGGGAAUCUUGCACAAUGGAGGAAACUCUGAUGCAGCGAUGCCGCGUGAGUGAAGAAGGCCCUUGGGUUGUAAAGCUCUUUCGUCGGGGAAGAAAAUGACUGUACCCGAAUAAGAAGGUCCGGCUAACUUCGUGCCAGCAGCCGCGGUAAUACGAAGGGACCUAGCGUAGUUCGGAAUUACUGGGCUUAAAGAGUUCGUAGGUGGUUGAAAAAGUUAGUGGUGAAAUCCCAGAGCUUAACUCUGGAACUGCCAUUAAAACUUUUCAGCUAGAGUAUGAUAGAGGAAAGCAGAAUUUCUAGUGUAGAGGUGAAAUUCGUAGAUAUUAGAAAGAAUACCAAUUGCGAAGGCAGCUUUCUGGAUCAUUACUGACACUGAGGAACGAAAGCAUGGGUAGCGAAGAGGAUUAGAUACCCUCGUAGUCCAUGCCGUAAACGAUGUGUGUUAGACGUUGGAAAUUUAUUUUCAGUGUCGCAGGGAAACCGAUAAACACACCGCCUGGGGAGUACGACCGCAAGGUUAAAACUCAAAUGAAUUGACGGGGACCCGCACAAGUAGUGGAGCAUGUGGUUUAAUUCGAAGAUACGCGCAGAACCUUACCAACACUUGACAUGUUCGUCGCGACUCUAAGAGAUUAGAGUUUUCGGUUCGGCCGGACGAAACACAGGUGCUGCAUGGCUGUCGUCAGCUCGUGUCGUGAGAUGUUGGGUUAAGUCCCGCAACGAGCGCAACCCUCACUUUUAGUUGCCAUCAUUAAGUUGGGCACUCUGAAAGAACUGCCAGUGAUAAGCUGGAGGAAGGUGGGGAUGACGUCAAGUCCUCAUGGCCCUUACGUGUUGGGCUACACACGUGCUACAAUGGUAUCUACAACAGGAAGCAAGACUGCGAAGUUAAGCAAAUCCCUAAAAGAUACCUCAGUUCGGAUUGCACUCUGCAACUCGAGUGCAUGGAGCUGGAAUUACUAGUAAUCGUGGAUCAGCGUGCCACGGUGAAUGCGUUCCCGGGUCU